AUGCACAAGGCGUCGUCGCUGUCGGAGCUGGGCUUCGACUCCGGCGGCGCGUCGUCGGGCUUCUUCCGGCCCGUGGCCGACGGCUGCCCGCCGGCCACCCCGACCUCCUCCGCCGCCCCGCACCGCCGCCUCACCAAGGUCUCCGUCAUCGGCGCCGGCAACGUGGGCAUGGCCAUCGCGCAGACCAUCCUCACCCAGAACCUGGCCGACGAGAUCGCGCUCGUCGACGCGCUCCCGGACAAGCUCCGCGGCGAGGCGCUCGACCUGCAGCACGCCGCCGCCUUCCUCCCGCGCGUCCGCAUCGUCUCCGGCACCGACGCCGCCGUCACCAGGAACUCCGACCUCGUCAUCGUCACGGCGGGGGCCAGGCAGAUCCCCGGCGAGACCAGGCUCAACCUGCUGCAGCGGAACGUCGCCCUCUACCGCAAGAUCGUGCCGCCCGUCGCCGAGCACUCCCCCGAGGCGCUGCUGCUCGUCGUCUCCAACCCCGUCGACGUGCUCACCUACGUCGCAUGGAGGCUCUCCGGCUUCCCCGCCAGCCGCGUCAUCGGCUCCGGCACCAACCUCGACUCCUCCCGCUUCAGGUUCCUCAUCGCCGAGCACCUCGAUGUCAACGCGCAGGACGUGCAGGCAUACAUGGUGGGUGAGCACGGCGACAGCUCGGUGGCGAUCUGGUCGAGCAUCAGCGUGGGCGGGAUGCCGGCGUUCAAGUCGCUGCGCGACAGCCACCGGAACUUCGACGAGGCGGCGCUGGAGGGGAUCCGGCGCGCCGUGGUGGGCGGCGCCUACGAGGUGAUCGGCCUCAAGGGGUACACCUCUUGGGCCAUUGGCUACUCUGUCGCCAGCCUCGCUGCUUCCCUCCUCCGCGACCAGCGCCGCGUGCACCCUGUCUCUGUCCUUGCCUCGGGCUUCCAUGGCAUCUCAGACGGCCACGAGGUGUUCCUCAGCCUGCCCGCCCGCCUUGGCCGCGGCGGCAUCCUCGGCGUCGCCGAGAUGGACCUCACCGAGGCCGAGGCCGCGCAGCUCCGCCGCUCCGCCAAGACGCUCUGGGAGAACUGCCAGCUCCUCGACCUCUGA
rnacentral:rRNA from 1 species